UCACUACUUGCGUAGGCAGUCUGGCUAGAGUCCCCACCAUUACGUGCUGGUAACCAACCACAAGGGAACCGACAUCUCUGCCAGCGUCUGGUGCAUGUCAAACCCAGGUAAGGUUCUUCGCGUUGCAUCGAAUUAAUCCACAUGCUCCGCCGCUUGUGCGGGCCCCCGUCAAUUCCUUUGAGUUUUAGCCUUGCGGCCGUACUCCCCAGGCGGGGCGCUUAAUGCGUUAGCUGCGGCACAGAGACCGUGGAAUGGCCCCCACACCUAGCGCCCACCGUUUACGGCGUGGACUAC
rnacentral:misc_RNA from 1 species